UCAAAAAGUUGGACUAGAAAAAGAAGAAAAGCCAGCUGAUCCAAAAUAAAGGCCAGUCUACUCUGAGAUUAAGACAGGGAAAGCCACAA
rnacentral:lncRNA from 1 species